rnacentral:rRNA from 1 species
GCUUGUCUCAAAGAUUAAGCCAUGCAUGUCUAAGUAUAAACAAAUCUAUACUGUGAAACUGCGAAUGGCUCAUUAUAUCAGUUAUAGUUUCUUUGAUGGUUCUUACUACUUGGAUAACCGUAGUAAUUCUAGAGCUAAUACAUGCAUGAACCCCCGACUUUUGAAGGGGUGUAUUUAUUAGACUUAAGCCAAUAUUCCUUGUGUCUAUUGCGAUGAUUCAUAAUAACUGAUCGAAUCUCAAAUUUGAGAUAAAUCAUUCAAGUUUCUGCCCUAUCAGCUUUCGAUGGUAGGGUAUUGGCCUACCAUGGCGUUAACGGGUAACGGAGAAUUAGGGUUCGAUUCCGGAGAGGGAGCCUGAGAAACGGCUACCACAUCCAAGGAAGGCAGCAGG